rnacentral:rRNA from 1 species
AUUGAACGCUGGCGGCAUGCCUUACACAUGCAAGUCGAACGGCAGCACGGGAGCAAUCCUGGUGGCGAGUGGCGAACGGGUGAGGUAAUAUAUCGGAACGUGCCCAGUCGUGGGGGAUAACGUAGCGAAAGCUACGCUAAUACCGCAUACGAUCUAUGGAUGAAAGCGGGGGAUCGCAAGACCUCGCGCGAUUGGAGCGGCCGAUAUCAGAUUAGGUAGUUGGUGAGGUAAAGGCUCACCAAGCCGACGAUCUGUAGCUGGUCUGAGAGGACGGACCAGCCACACUGGGACUGAGACACGGCCCACGACUCCUACGGGAGGCAGCAGUGGGGAAUUUUUGGGACAAUGGGCGCAAGCCUGAUCCAG